rnacentral:rRNA from 1 species
UACGGGGGGAGCAAGCGUUGUUCGGAUUUACUGGGCGUAAAGGGCGCGUAGGCGGCCAGCACAAGUCAGUUGUGAAAUCUCCGAGCUUAACUCGGAAAGGUCAACUGAUACUGUGCGGCUAGAGUGCAGAAGGGGCAACUGGAAUUCUUGGUGUAGCGGUGAAAUGCGUAGAUAUCAAGAGGAACACCUGCGGCGAAGGCGGGUUGCUGGGCUGACACUGACGCUGAGGAGCGAAAGCAUGGGGAGCGAACAGG